rnacentral:rRNA from 1 species
UACGUAGGUGGCAAGCGUUGUCCGGAUUUACUGGGCGUAAAGAGCGCGCAGGCGGUCGUCCAAGUCGCGUGUGAAAGCCCCCGGCUCAACUGGGGAGGGUCACGCGAUACUGGUCGACUCGAAGGCAGGAGAGGGUAGUGGAAUUCCCGGUGUAGAGGUGAAAUGCGUAGAUAUCGGGAGGAACACCAGUGGCGAAGGCGACUACCUGGCCUGUUCUUGACGCUGAGGCGCGAAAGCUAGGGGAGCAAACGGG